rnacentral:rRNA from 1 species
GACGAACGCUGGCGGCGUGCUUAACACAUGCAAGUCGAACGGAAAGGCCCCAGCUUGCUGGAGUACUCGAGUGGCGAACGGGUGAGUAACACGUGGGUAAUCUGCCCUGCACUCUGGGAUAAGCCUGGGAAACUGGGUCUAAUACUGGAUAUGACCUUUCUCCUUAUGGGGUUUGGUGGAAAGUUUUUCGGUGUAGGAUGAGCCCGCGGCCUAUCAGCUUGUUGGUGGGGUGAUGGCCUACCAAGGCGACGACGGGUAGCCGGCCUGAGAGGGUGAUCGGCCACAUUGGGACUGAGAUACGGCCCAGACUCCUACGGGAGGCAGCAGUGGGGAAUAUUGCACAAUGGGCGGAAGCCUGAUGCAGCGACGCCGCGUGAGGGAUGACGGCCUUCGGGUUGUAAACCUCUUUCAGCAGGGACGAAGCGUAAGUGACGGUACCUGCAGAAGAAGCACCGGCUAACUAUGUG